rnacentral:rRNA from 1 species
GAUCCUGGCUCAGGAUGAACGCUGGCGGCGUGCUUAACACAUGCAAGUCGAACGAAGACAUCUGAGUGCUUGCACUUGGAUGGACUGAGUGGCGGACGGGUGAGUAACGCGUGGGUAACCUGCCUUAUACAGGGGGAUAACAGUUGGAAACGACUGCUAAUACCGCAUAAGCGCACGGUAUCGCAUGAUACAGUGUGAAAAACUCCGGUGGUAUAAGAUGGACCCGCGUCUGAUUAGCUUGUUGGUGAGGUAACGGCCCACCAAGGCGACGAUCAGUAGCCGACCUGAGAGGGUGACCGGCCACAUUGGGACUGAGACACGGCCCAAACUCCUACGGGAGGCAGCAGUGGGGAAUAUUGCACAAUGGGGGAAACCCUGAUGCAGCGACGCCGCGUGAGUGAUGAAGUAUUUCGGUAUGUAAAACUCUAUCAGCAGGGAAGAUAAUGACGGUACCUGACUAAGAAGCACCGGCUAAAUACGUG